rnacentral:tRNA from 1 species
GGCAACUUGGCCGAGCGGUCUAAGGCGCCACGUUAAGGAGAUACCCUUAAUCACACACCCCAUCUUGAUCUUCUGAGGUCAUCAUGAGUAGUUCCGUGGUCCGAAAGGGCGUGAGUUCGAAUCUCACAGUUGUCA